CCGAACUAACUCAUCUACAAACUUGCUCUCGGAACUUCAAGUCACCACUUGUAAACCGUUGAUUAUUGAAGUAUGGAUGAUUCAUGAAACAAGUUAGGGUGGAUUAGAUACACGCCUAGAAUAUUUUAUCUCUUGUUUGUUAUGUUACUUGUUGAAACAAUGUUGUUAUUUCCUUUUGAAUCAUGUAUGACUUUUAGUUUUGAAAUGAAAUUUGAAUUUAAAUUAA